rnacentral:lncRNA from 1 species
GCAAGGGGCGAUGAAGAAAGAGCCUUGGUAAGUGUCCCUUUUUUGUUUAAUUUAUUAUUUUUGUUAUUUUAACUUAUUUAAUGUGUUUUUAAACUAAUACAAUUGUCCCCCCCUCCCCCCCCAAAAAAAAACUAAUACAAUUGUAUUUAAAUAGAUUCUAAUACAUCAAGCUAACAACGAGGAGACUUGGGAGUAAUGAGCAUCAACCUUAAUCAGACCUAGAAGCAUAAAAGCAAUUGGUUUCAUAAAGGGUUUGUAAAGAAAACAUUGUACUUUUCAUCGAAAUAUUUUAUUGAUGGUUGUGUAAUUUUUAUUUUCUAAGUUUGAACUCUUUUGGGGAAUUUGAUAUAAAAAAUAUGUUCAUCCACUUUUGGGAGAAGAUUUUUCGUAUUUCACAUUGAACUCUUGUAGGAUUAUAAAUUAGGAUUAUGAGUGGUGUAUUUUCAAAAUGAUACAAUUCUUUUAAUUCAUAUAUUAUUUUACUUUAUAGCAUUAUUGUAACUAAAUUAAAAAUUCCAGCCUCAUGCUUACAUGGAAAAAAUUUCACUUCCAACACAUUGUAUUUACGGUAAAAAUAAAGCAUUUAUGAUGCAUCAAACACGUCUCAAAUAUUCUGUUUAAUUUCAAUGUCAAAGCAGUUGCGAUGUUAACUAUUAUUUUGCAAAGCCAUCAUGAAAAUAACUUUGUGACGCUAACAAUGCAUCACAAUAAUCUAAGGGAACUUUUAUGACCCAUUGCCUUCGGAGUUGAAAUUCUUCUAAUGUAGUUUACUAGCGGUUGAAAUAAUGCAAAAGUUUAAAGAGAAGGAAAAACCAGUAUAAUUUAAUGAUGAAAAAUAAUAACAACGUGAAUUCCACAAGGUCUAAUACCCAAUUAAUAAUCAUAUCUGUUUAUAAUAUGGAAAACUAUUUGAUCACACGUGACUUUGGAAUUAAUCAUGUGUUCGGUAUAAGAAACUCGAAACACAGCGAUUCAGAAGAACAAAAUAAAAAUAAAUAAAUAAAUAAGAAAAAGAAAAAAGAACACGGAUAGAUACUCAGCACUGGUCAGAAUAGUCCUCGUGAAGAAUGAGUUAUGAAACAGACAUAACGGAACCUUCCCCAGAAAGAAUAUUCACUGCCGACACACGACGCCCAUCGUCUUCAGUCUUCAUGCCCGCCCAUGCUGGGCUCUGGGUCUCCACUGAAAUUUCACAUAUGUCCACUUGGCCUAUACUACAAUUCAAUAUCAUAAUCAAAACAACCUUAAUUAUGUUUUAAACCUUAUAAUCCAUGUACAAAUGAAGUGAAUACAACAAAAUUUGUUUUCUAAAACACACAAUUAAUAGCACGUUUGUAGAUUUACUUUUUUGUAUAUGUUUAUGUGCCGUACAAAAAUAGUUUAGACACAUUUAAUUUGAAUCAGUCGUAUAUGAAAAUCAUAUAACAAACAAAAAGUAAAGAUAAAUUUAGUACAUUGAGAAAACAACGGAUUUUAAUUGCUCAUAUCUUGUCAAAAGUUAAAAGUUAUAAUUAUAAAAAGGAGUAAUUAGGUUUUCAUCCUUAUUUUUACUACUCUAUUGAUUAAAACCUUAUUACUUUU